rnacentral:rRNA from 1 species
UCGGGAAUUUUGGGCAAUGGGGGAAACCCUGACCCAGCAACGCCGCGUGAAGGAUGAAGUAUUUCGGUAUGUAAACUUCGAAAGAAUAGGAAGAAUAAAUGACGGUACUAUUUAUAAGGUCCGGCUAACUACGUGCCAGCAGCCGCGGUAAUACGUAGGGACCAAGCGUUGUUCGGAUGUACUGGGCGUAAAGGGCGCGUAGGCGGCAUGACAAGUCACUUGUGAAAUCUCUGGGCUUAACCCAGAACGGCCAAGUGAUACUGUCGCGCUAGAGUGCAGAAGGGGCAAUCGGAAUUCUUGGUGUAGCGGUGAAAUGCGUAGAUAUCAAGAGGAACACCUGAGGUGAAGACGGGUUGCUGGGCUGACACUGACGCUGAGGCGCGAAAGCCAGGGGAGCAAACGGGAUUAGAUACCCAAGUAGUCCCUGAGCGGGCUGGCAAGGCGCAU